UACAAAGAAUAUAAAAAAACCUCUUUUUCUUUAAUCUCUUCCGUUAUGACCCUCAAAUGAGAUGAAAUCCCCAACUUCCUAACUUCUUUUCCUAACUCACCGCAAUUUUGUUAUACUUAAUCAUCCUUAACCUCUUCAUUUUCUUUCCCUUCAUUUCGUUGUACUCCUUCAAAUCUAUCCCUCGUAAUCAAUCUCCACAUUCUUAAAUAAACACCACCGUUGAAUCUCUCGUGCCACAAAUCACUGCUCGCAUGAUGAUAAAUUUAAGGAUCAACCACCGUCAACCACACAAAAUAAUACUUGAUCUUGUCCUUGGUGGUUGUUAGUAGAUCGAUUUAAUCUAUUGUUUGAUUAGAUUUAAUCAAAGGAGACGAAAAGAUUUGUUCUUGCAUAUCUUCUUUGUUCUUGCUAGAGAUUGAUCAAAUUCAAAAGAGGACAAAGUAUUUUUUUUUCUUCUUCUAUAGGAUAUACCUAGAAUCAAUGAGUUACGUUUAAGAUCUUUGUAUAAUUUAUUAUAUUCUUUGAUCUACUAUUUAUUCGUUACAGAUUUACAAGUGUAUUUUUAAUUGUAUGAGAAUUCCAUUACGAAUUAGAAAUGUUGACCUAUUCA